CGAAACAAGGCUCUCCUAAGAGUUGUGAUAGCUUUGGAGGUGCAUGAGAAGUAUGAAGAGUAGGAGUGGUUCGGCCAACUCCCUUUGUAGGUGAAGGUUUGAAGAUUAAAAGCCUAUUCCUAAGAUAGUUUAGGCAAGGAGUGAGAAUGACACAAUUUUGACAGCAUUUCACUAUUCAAUUAAUCUUGCAUAAAUUACUUAGAUCACAACUCUUUCUAAGUCAAAUUUUAUGCAAAGGAAAACAAUGCAAAGCAAUUAAUCAAAGCUAAACAAGUAAUUACCGUAAACAAUUAAGCAAAGCUAUACAAGUAAUUAACGUAAAGCAAACUAGCUAAGCACAAUUAAAGAUUGCUAAUCUACAAAGCUUUAAACUAGACGUUUCCUAGGUGAGGCUUCUAGACACUUUGAGCCUUUGAAGACACACUCACCGUCUACACAUGAUUAAUUCACUAAUUAAACAAAGGUUAAGUGUAAUUACAACUCAAAGAAAUACAAAGAAAUUGAAUUGCACAAAUUAAAUUUCAGCUUUCUAUACUAUGCACUCCUUUGGCUUGUAGUUGCUCUUCUUUGUUGUGUCCUUCAAAGUUUAUGUGUUUGGUAUUUGUGUUUGUGUUACCUGUUGCUCCUUGCCUUAACCUCUUAUGAAUAGACAAUUAAAUUCUCCAAAACAGUACCUACUAAGUAGAGCUAGACUUACCACAAAGUCAAUUCCACUUAACAAGCACCAAUUGAAUUUAUCCACCAACAAUUUAGAGGUCAAGAAAAGAAAGUAAGAAACAAAUUAAAUUUUAAAACAGUACCACAGCAAAUGGAUUUCAAUUAUGUGACACAACUUAGAAAGAGUUUAGAGUGAUAAUGGACAAGCAAGUAAAAAUAGGCACUCAAUAAAGGAUGGCACACAAAAGGAACCUAAAGAAAGGCACUAGAAUUGAUUUGAAAAACCAAAACAGCACUACUGGAAAAGUUUCGGUCCAGAAAGCGUGACUUAAAAUAUUUAUGCUAAGCUGGCUAUUUUGAAUUUGCUUCUGAAAAUUUAACCACAAACAAUUCAAUGUCUUAGCAAGCUUUUGGCGCUGGAAUCACACCAAAAACAUGCACCAAAUAAUUGUGAUAAAUUUUUCAAAAUCACUAUCCAACUACCGUAUAUUUUGGCGCCAGGAUGCACUCUUUUUUUGUUUUAUUUAUAAUUUUUUUUUCUCUAUUUUGUCUUUUCAUCUGAUUCUUUUUUUCUUGAUUUUCUAACACAUCAACCUGUAUAGAUCCAGAUUUUCAUAAUUUUUCUUCAACGUAUUUAAAGAAACCAAAAUCAAAUCAAAUCAAGAAACCAAAAUUAUCAACAAAUUCAGCACAACAAGGAUGUGAUGACAUAUUAGGAGAAACAUGACUUAGACAAAACAUAUUAAGAUUCAGAAAUUAAAAUGACUCAAGACAAAUCAUAUGAACCGAACAGAAUUUCAAACAAGACUCAAACAACCUAAAAUCAAAACAGCAACACAAUUUCAUAUAGAUUCCUACACAAAAUAUGAAAAUAAGAAGCUCAAGAACAAUUUAAACAUUUUGCACCGAUUGAAUUGCUUAAAACAGCAACUAAAUCAAAUUAAAAAGCAAAAAAUAGCAAGACAACAUGAACAAGUGAUGAACAACACACAAAUAAGAAGAACACAAACACAAAAAUGAGAGAAGACACUUAGCUCUUGUAGAACCUAUGCUCAUGAUACCAAAUGAUGGAUUUGUGUCUUCUUCUUUGCAUUUUUGAGGUGAACUAGCGGAAGCUCCAUGGAUAUUUGGCGAAACAAGGCUCUCCUAAGAGUUGUGAUAGCCUUGGAGGUGCAUGAGAAGUAUGAAGAGUAGGAGUGGUUCAACCAACUCCCUUUGUAGGUGAAGGUUUGAAGAUUAAAAGCCUAUUCCUAAGAGAGUUUAGGCAAGGAGUGAGAAUGGCACAAUUUUGGCAGCAUUUCACUAUUCAAUUAAUCUUGCAAAUACAUGAGUCAAGCCCUCUUAUUUAU
rnacentral:lncRNA from 1 species